rnacentral:rRNA from 1 species
UACAGAGGUCUCAAGCGUUGUUCGGAUUCAUUGGGCGUAAAGGGUGCGUAGGCGGCGCGGUAAGUCGGGUGUGAAAUCUCGGAGCUUAACUCCGAAACUGCAUUCGAUACUGCCGUGCUUGAGGACUGGAGAGGAGACUGGAAUUUACGGUGUAGCGGUGAAAUGCGUAGAUAUCUGGAGGAACACCGGUGGCGAAGGCAGAUCUCUGGGCCGUAACUGACGCUGAGGAGCGAAAGCGUGGGGAGCGAACAGG